UACCGGAUAACAACACUAGACGCAUGUCUAGAGUUUGAAAGAUGGUUCUGCUAUCACUCUUGGAUGGACCUGCGGUGCAUUAGCUAGUUGGUAAGGUAACGGCUUACCAAGGCAAUGAUGCAUAGCCGAGUUGAGAGACUGAUCGGCCACAUUGGGACUGAGACACGGCCCAAACUCCUACGGGAGGCAGCAGUAGGGAAUCUUCCACAAUGGACGAAAGUCUGAUGGAGCAACGCCGCGUGAGUGAAGAAGGGUUUCGGCUCGUAAAGCUCUGUUGGUAGUGAAGAAAGAUAGAGGUAGUAACUGGCCUUUAUUUGACGGUAAUUACUUAGAAAGUCACGGCUAACUACGUGCCAGCAGCCGCGGUAAUACGUAGGUGGCAAGCGUUGUCCGGAUUUAUUGGGCGUAAAGCGAGUGCAGGCGGUUCAAUAAGUCUGAUGUGAAAGCCUUCGGCUCAACCGGAGAAUUGCAUCAGAAACUGUUGAACUUGAGUGCAGAAGAGGAGAGUGGAACUCCAUGUGUAGCGGUGGAAUGCGUAGAUAUAUGGAAGAACACCAGUGGCGAAGGCGGCUCUCUGGUCUGCAACUGACGCUGAGGCUCGAAAGCAUGGGUAGCGAACAGGAUUAGAUACCCUGGUAGUCCAUGCCGUAAACGAC
rnacentral:rRNA from 1 species